rnacentral:rRNA from 1 species
ACUCCUACGGGAGGCAGCAGUGGGGAAUAUUGCACAAUGGGCGCAAGCCUGAUGCAGCCAUGCCGCGUGUAUGAAGAAGGCCUUCGGGUUGUAAAGUACUUUCAGCAGUGAGGAAGGUGGUAGUGUUAAUAGCACUAUCAUUUGUACGUUAGCUGCAGAAGAAGCACCGGCUAACUCCGUGCCAGCAGCCGCGGUAAGUACGGAGGGUGCGAGCGUUAAUCGGAAUUACUGGGCGUAAAGCGCAUGCAGGUGGUUGUUAAGUCAGAUGUGAAAGCCCGGGGCUCAACCUCGGAAUUGCAUUUGAAACUGGCAGACUAGAGUACUGGUAGAGGGGGUAGGAAUUUCAGGUGUAGCGGUGAAAUGCGUAGAGAUCGUGAAGGAAUACCGGUGGCGAACGGCGGCCCCGUGGACAGAUACUGACACUCAGAUGCGAAAGCGUGGGAGCAAACAGGAUUAGAUACCCCGUGGUAGCGACU